rnacentral:rRNA from 1 species
AGUGAACGCUGGCGGUAGGCCUAACACAUGCAAGUCGAACGGCAGCACAGUAAGAGCUUGCUCUUACGGGUGGCGAGUGGCGGACGGGUGAGGAAUACAUCGGAAUCUACUUUUUCGUGGGGGAUAACGUAGGGAAACUUACGCUAAUACCGCAUACGACCUACGGGUGAAAGCAGGGGAUCUUCGGACCUUGCGCGAUUGAAUGAGCCGAUGUCGGAUUAGCUAGUUGGCGGGGUAAAGGCCCACCAAGGCGACGAUCCGUAACUGGUCUGAGAGGAUGAUCAGCCACACUGGAACUGAGACACGGUCCAGACUCCUACGGGAGGCAGCAGUGGGGAAUAUUGGACAAUGGGCGCAAGCCUGAUCCAGCCAUACCGCGUGUGUGAAGAAGGCCUUCGGGUUGUAAAGCCCUUUUGUUGGGAAAGAAAAGCAGCAGGUUAAUACCCCGCUGUUCUGACGGUACCCAAAGAAUAAGCACCGGCUAACUUCGUG